rnacentral:tRNA from 1 species
AAGAGAUUAGUUUAACAAAAACAGCUAACUUCGAACUAGCAAAUUUAGACCCCUAAAUCUCUAA